rnacentral:rRNA from 1 species
GGGUUGUGAGGUUAAGCGACUAAGCGUACACGGUGGAUGCCCUGGCAGUCAGAGGCGAUGAAGGACGUGCUAAUCUGCGAUAAGCGUCGGUAAGGUGAUAUGAACCGUUAUAACCGGCGAUUUCCGAAUGGGGAAACCCAGUGUGUUUCGACACACUAUCAUUAACUGAAUCCAUAGGUUAAUGAGGCGAACCGGGGGAACUGAAACAUCUAAGUACCCCGAGGAAAAGAAAUCAACCGAGAUUCCCCCAGUAGCGGCGAGCGAACGGGGAGCAGCCCAGAGCCUGAAUCAGUGUGUGUGUUAGUGGAAGCGUCUGGAAAGGCGCGCGAUACAGGGUGACAGCCCCGUACACAAAAAUGCACAUAUUGUGAGCUCGAUGAGUAGGGCGGGACACGUGGUAUCCUGUCUGAAUAUGGGGGGACCAUCCUCCAAGGCUAAAUACUCCUGACUGACCGAUAGUGAACCAGUACCGUGAGGGAAAGGCGAAAAGAACCCCGGCGAGGGGAGUGAAAAAGAACCUGAAACCGUGUACGUACAAGCAGUGGGAGCCUCUUUUAUGGGGUGACUGCGUACCUUUUGUAUAAUGGGUCAGCGACUUAUAUUCUGUAGCAAGGUUAACCGAAUAGGGGAGCCGAAGGGAAACCGAGUCUUAACUGGGCGUUAAGUUGCAGGGUAUAGACCCGAAACCCGGUGAUCUAGCCAUGGGCAGGUUGAAGGUUGGGUAACACUAACUGGAGGACCGAACCGACUAAUGUUGAAAAAUUAGCGGAUGACUUGUGGCUGGGGGUGAAAGGCCAAUCAAACCGGGAGAUAGCUGGUUCUCCCCGAAAGCUAUUUAGGUAGCGCCUCGUGAAUUCAUCUCCGGGGGUAGAGCACUGUUUCGGCAAGGGGGUCAUCCCGACUUACCAACCCGAUGCAAACUGCGAAUACCGGAGAAUGUUAUCACGGGAGACACACGGCGGGUGCUAACGUCCGUCGUGAAGAGGGAAACAACCCAGACCGCCAGCUAAGGUCCCAAAGUCAUGGUUAAGUGGGAAACGAUGUGGGAAGGCCCAGACAGCCAGGAUGUUGGCUUAGAAGCAGCCAUCAUUUAAAGAAAGCGUAAUAGCUCACUGGUCGAGUCGGCCUGCGCGGAAGAUGUAACGGGGCUAAACCAUGCACCGAAGCUGCGGCAGCGACGCUUAUGCGUUGUUGGGUAGGGGAGCGUUCUGUAAGCCUGUGAAGGUGUGCUGUGAGGCAUGCUGGAGGUAUCAGAAGUGCGAAUGCUGACAUAAGUAACGAUAAAGCGGGUGAAAAGCCCGCUCGCCGGAAGACCAAGGGUUCCUGUCCAACGUUAAUCGGGGCAGGGUGAGUCGACCCCUAAGGCGAGGCCGAAAGGCGUAGUCGAUGGGAAACAGGUUAAUAUUCCUGUACUUGGUGUUACUGCGAAGGGGGGACGGAGAAGGCUAUGUUGGCCGGGCGACGGUUGUCCCGGUUUAAGCGUGUAGGCUGGUUUUCCAGGUAAAUCCGGAAAAUCAAGGCUGAGGCGUGAUGACGAGGCACUACGGUGCUGAAGCAACAAAUGCCCUGCUUCCAGGAAAAGCCUCUAAGCAUCAGGUAACAUCAAAUCGUACCCCAAACCGACACAGGUGGUCAGGUAGAGAAUACCAAGGCGCUUGAGAGAACUCGGGUGAAGGAACUAGGCAAAAUGGUGCCGUAACUUCGGGAGAAGGCACGCUGAUAUGUAGGUGAAGUCCCUCGCGGAUGGAGCUGAAAUCAGUCGAAGAUACCAGCUGGCUGCAACUGUUUAUUAAAAACACAGCACUGUGCAAACACGAAAGUGGACGUAUACGGUGUGACGCCUGCCCGGUGCCGGAAGGUUAAUUGAUGGGGUUAGCGCAAGCGAAGCUCUUGAUCGAAGCCCCGGUAAACGGCGGCCGUAACUAUAACGGUCCUAAGGUAGCGAAAUUCCUUGUCGGGUAAGUUCCGACCUGCACGAAUGGCGUAAUGAUGGCCAGGCUGUCUCCACCCGAGACUCAGUGAAAUUGAACUCGCUGUGAAGAUGCAGUGUACCCGCGGCAAGACGGAAAGACCCCGUGAACCUUUACUAUAGCUUGACACUGAACAUUGAGCCUUGAUGUGUAGGAUAGGUGGGAGGCUUAGAAGUGUGGACGCCAGUCUGCAUGGAGCCGACCUUGAAAUACCACCCUUUAAUGUUUGAUGUUCUAACGUGGACCCGUAAUCCGGGUUGCGGACAGUGUCUGGUGGGUAGUUUGACUGGGGCGGUCUCCUCCUAAAGAGUAACGGAGGAGCACGAAGGUUGGCUAAUCCUGGUCGGACAUCAGGAGGUUAGUGCAAUGGCAUAAGCCAGCUUGACUGCGAGCGUGACGGCGCGAGCAGGUGCGAAAGCAGGUCAUAGUGAUCCGGUGGUUCUGAAUGGAAGGGCUAUCGCUCAACGGAUAAAAGGUACUCCGGGGAUAACAGGCUGAUACCGCCCAAGAGUUCAUAUCGACGGCGGUGUUUGGCACCUCGAUGUCGGCUCAUCACAUCCUGGGGCUGAAGUAGGUCCCAAGGGUAUGGCUGUUCGCCAUUUAAAGUGGUACGCGAGCUGGGUUUAGAACGUCGUGAGACAGUUCGGUCCCUAUCUGCCGUGGGCGCUGGAGAACUGAGGGGGGCUGCUCCUAGUACGAGAGGACCGGAGUGGACGCAUCACUGGUGUUCGGGUUGUCAUGCCAAUGGCACUGCCCGGUAGCUAAAUGCGGAAGAGAUAAGUGCUGAAAGCAUCUAAGCACGAAACUUGCCCCGAGAUGAGUUCUCCCUGACCCUUUAAGGGUCCUGAAGGAACGUUGAAGACGACGACGUUGAUAGGCCGGGUGUGUAAGCGCAGCGAUGCGUUGAGCUAACCGGUACUAAUGAACCGUGAGGCUUAACCUUACAACGCCGAAG